UACGUAGGGGGCGAGCGUUGUUCGGAUUUACUGGGCGUAAAGAGCGCGUAGGCGGUUCGGUCCGUCGGCCGUGAAAGCCCUCGGCUCAACCGAGGCCCCGCGGCCGAGACCGCCGAACUUGAGGGCAGGAGAGGAGCGCGGAAUUCCCGGUGUAGCGGUGAAAUGCGUAGAUACCGGGAGGAACACCGGUGGCGAAGGCGGCGCUCUGGACUGCUCCUGACGCUGAGGCGCGAAAGCUAGGGGAGCAAACGGG
rnacentral:rRNA from 1 species